CACGGAAGAUAUGAACUUCUCUAACGAGCCAUUCGGUAAGAACUCGUAAACUAGAGCUCUUCUAAAUCCAUCAGCGCAAAAGCCAAUCAAACGAACCACAUUAACAUGGUGAAUCGUACCGAUUGUUCUCACUUCGUUUAUGAAUUCUUCUCCAUUUCCUUUGGAAGUGCUCAAGAUCUUUACUGCAACUUGGAUUUCAUCAGAAAGCUUUCCUUUGAAGACUGUUCCGUAGGCUCCUUCACCCAAUUUUUCAGAUUUGCAGCUCUGAUUGUUUUUGUGCUCCUACUCCAUCAAACUUGCAUUGCCAAGGAUACAAGUCAGGACUGUGUUCCUUCUUCCUGCGGCAAUAUCCACAACAUAAGCCAUCCGUUUCGAUUACAAGGCGAUCCACCAAAUUGUGGCGACCCAAGAUAUAGCCUGUCAUGCGAGAACAACCAAACGUUGCUGUACUUAUUUUCUGGAAUAUACUACGUCAAGGCAAUCGAUUACAACAACCUCACAAUCCGAGUUGUUGACCCUGGCAUUAAUCUAGAAGAUAACUACUCCUUCAUCCCUCGUUAUUUUUUAAGCCUGACAAAUUUCAGUUUAAAGGUUCCAUACGUCUCAAGCGUUCCACACUAUUUAGGCUACGAUGAAGUCAGGCUUUUGUCAGCCAAUGUGGUUUUCUUGAAGUGUGAAAAGCCAGUGAAUUCUACUGAUUAUUUGGACGUUUCAACCUGUUCUGAUAACGGAUCAUACUCUUCCAACUCUACUUUGUCCCAUUCCAAGAGGUAUAGAUACGUUCUAUUUCUCAACUCGAUCAAAGCAGAGUAUGUGGCGGACUUGUGCCAAGUAGAGCAGAUAAUGACUCUGUCAUCGUCGCCCAUUUCAUAUCAGGCCGUCCCAAGAAAAUUUUCCUGUACAGACUUCCACAAUGAAUUGGUGGAAUAUGGCUUUGAGUUGUCAUUCGCACAAAACUGUGGCUGCAACAAUGGCGAACGUUGUUCCCUCAGUGACUCGGGCGUUGUUCAGUGCCAUUCUCAAAAUGGAAUGCUUGGUGCACUAACAACUAUUAUCAACAGACUAACUCCGAACUUGAUCAGACAAAGAGUCGAUGAUCAGAUACUACCAAAGUAUGGAUAUAGAGUUUCUUUAAUCAGAUUAUUGUUGAUAACGAGCAUUGAUACUGGACUGUACCUUGCAGCAAAAAGUAUGUUCUGGACUCCAUUCGUGAUUGCAUUUUUGAUUUAUAAAUGGCAUAGGAGACAUUUGUCAAUGUAUGACACCGUUGAAGAAUUUCUACAAAGUCAAAAUUACCUCAUGCCAAUAAGGUAUUCUUAUUCAGAAAUUUGUAAGAUGACCAAAAGUUUCAAGGAAGAAUUAGGUGAAGGAGGCUUUGGUACUGCAUUUAAAGGAACACUUCGAAGUGGCCAAAUUGUAGCUGUAAAGAUGUUAAGUAAAUCCAAUGCUAAUGGUCAGGAUUUUAUCAAUGAGGUUGCAACAAUUGGAAGGAUUCACCAUGUUAAUGUAGUGAAACUCAUUGGUUUUUGCGUUGAAAGAUCAAAGCGGGCUCUUGUAUACGAGUUCAUGUCUAAUGGGUCUCUCAAUAAAUAUAUUUUUUCACAAGGAAGUAUCCUCCUUAGCUAUGAGAAAAUACUUGAUGUUGCUCUAGGAGUGGCUCGCGGGAUUGAAUAUUUACAUCGAGGUUGUGAUAUGCAGAUCUUGCAUUUUGAUAUCAAGCCUCACAACAUUCUCUUAGACGAGAAUUUUACUCCCAAAGUUUCUGAUUUUGGCCUUGCAAAAUUGUAUCCAGCAGAUGACAACAUUGUUUCUUUGACUUCUGCAAGAGGGACAUUAGGAUACAUGGCUCCUGAGCUGUACUACAAAAACAUUGGAGGCAUUUCAUACAAAGCUGAUGUUUAUAGUUUUGGAAUGUUAUUGAUGGAAAUGGCUAGUAGAAGAAAGAACUUUAAUACUUUUGCAGAGCAUUCAAGUCAAACUUACUUCCCCACUUGGGCUUAUGAUCAGUUCUGCAAUGGAAAGGAUGUAGAACUGGAAGGUACCAAGGAAGAGGACAAAAAAAUAGGCAAAAAAAUGAUCAUAGUUGCAUUAUGGUGUAUACAGAUGAAUCCUAAUAAUCGUCCUUCUAUGACUAAAGUGGUAGAAAUGCUUGAAGGAGAAGUUGACUGCUUACAAAUGCCUUCCAAGCCUUUCUUAUCAUCAUCAUCAGCAUCAGCAUCAUCAUCAUAUAAACAAGUAGAUAUUGAAGACAGUUCAACCCAAACAUGGUCAUCAAUCCGAUCAAGUGAAUCAAGUGCCUUCAAUCAAGCAUAGAUGCCAGAUUCAUUGACUCACUCGUACUUGACAAAUGGAUUGAAUCUUGGGUUGAGAAAUGACAAGAACUCCUCUAUACAAUUGGAAAUGGAGACGUUCAUUGGGCUGAUAUAGAGUUUUGAGAGUAAAUAGUGCUGAUAUCUGUGUCUAUGAUUAUGCUUUUGGAAAAUAUAUUCAGAGAGAUUAAUCAAGCAGCAAAUUUCUUACCCGUUAGCCAAAUUGGGAGAUUGAAGUGGUGCUACUAGUGACUAUGUCACUUGGCUGGAUCUUCCCAGAGAGCAAUGGAUUAUUGAUAGUGAUUGAGAGAGCAUGUUUGCCUUGUAUUAGAUGUAAAUGAGUUAUGUUUUCUUUAGGGUGGGGAGGUUCUUUCUUUCCUGAAUAUUAGAUGUACUGCGGCUUUACUCCCAUCCCUAAAUUGAGAGAGCAUGUUUGUCUGUAUUAAUUUCUUACACAAGUUUAUGUAUUGGCUUGAUCACCAGUACUCUUGGAGUUUAUAGUGAGCCUAAUUUUUUUUU